rnacentral:rRNA from 1 species
AUUGAACGCUGGCGGAAUGCUUUACACAUGCAAGUCGAGCGGCAGCGCGGGGCAACCUGGCGGCGAGCGGCGAACGGGUGAGUAAUGCAUCGGAACAUGUCCAUGUCGUGGGGGAUAGCCCGGCGAAAGCCGGAUUAAUACCGCAUACGCCCGAGAGGGGAAAGGUGGGGGACGUCGCAAGGGCCUCACGCGAUUGGGUUGGCCGAUGUCCGAUUAGCUAGUUGGCGGGGUAAGAGCCCACCAAGGCGAUGAUCGGUAGCUGGUCUGAGAGGAUGAUCAGCCACACUGGGACUGAGACACGGCCCAGACUCCUACGGAGGCAGCAGUGGGGAAUUUUGGACAAUGGGGGCAACCCUGAUCCAGCCAUGCCGCGUGAGUGAAGAAGGCCUGG